rnacentral:rRNA from 1 species
AGACCCGAAACCCGGUGAUCUAGCCAUGGGCAGGUUGAAGGUUGGGUAACACUAACUGGAGGACCGAACCGACUAAUGUUGAAAAAUUAGCGGAUGACCUGUGGCUGGGGGUGAAAGGCCAAUCAAACCGGGAGAUAGCUGGUUCUCCCCGAAAGCUAUUUAGGUAGCGCCUCGUGAAUUCAUCUCCGGGGGUAGAGCACUGUUUCGGCUAGGGGGCCAUCCCGGCUUACCAACCCGAUGCAAACUGCGAAUACCGGAGAAUGUUAUCACGGGAGACACACGGCGGGUGCUAACGUCCGUCGUGAAGAGGGAAACAACCCAGACCGCCAGCUAAGGUCCCAAAGUCAUGGUUAAGUGGGAAACGAUGUGGGAAGGCCCAGACAGCCAGGAUGUUGGCUUAGAAGCAGCCAUCAUUUAAAGAAAGCGUAAUAGCUCACUGGUCGAGUCGGCCUGCGCGGAAGAUGUAACGGGGCUAAACCAUGCACCGAAGCUGCGGCAGCGAACGUAUCACCCAAGACAACUUUACGGAGUUGACGAUUGACGGAGCGAAGCGACGUCAAAGCGUUCAUUAAAGUCGAGUUGGCUUAGGGAUACGUUCGUUGGGUAGGGGAGCGUUCUGUAAGCCUGUGAAGGUGGCCUGUGAGGGUUGCUGGAGGUAUCAGAAGUGCGAAUGCUGACAUAAGUAACGA